rnacentral:rRNA from 1 species
AGCUCCAAUAGCGUAUAUUCAAGUUGUUGCGUUUAAAUCGCUCGUAGUUGAAUUUUGGAUCUGGCAGAGUGGUUUGGCCGCAAGGUCAACACUGCUUUUAGUCGGAUCUUACCUUCUAGGGAACCAGUGUGCCCUUAACUGUGGUGUGCUGGGGAUCUAGGACUGUUACUUUGAAAAAAUUAGAGUGUUCAAAACAGGCAUUUUGCUUGAAUACAUUAGCAUGGAAUAACGGAAUAGGACUUUGUUUCUAUUUUGUUGGUUUUUAGGAACGAAGUAAUGAUUAAUAGGGAUAGUUGGGGGCAUUAGUAUUCCAUUGUCAGAGGUGAAAUUCUUGGAUUUAUGAAAGACUAACUUCUGCGAAAGCAUUUGCCAAGGAUGUUUUCA